GAUUCACCAGAACGUUCUGAGGAAGACCUUGCUCAAGAACAAACACAAGGAUGAAGCUAAACCCAUGUGCCAAGACAACCAAUCUUUGUAUCAUUCUUGCACGUGACCUUAAUGUGAAUGUAAAAUGUACAAGAGGACCAACAUGGUGUUGAGUGUGAUUCUGAAAAGGAAAGAGGUUCAGAAAACACUUCUGCUCAAAAAAAAAAGAUUCAGUGAGGCAUUCUGAACGACCGGUUCGAGAACAUGAAUCAUGAUGAGGUGGAACCCCUAUGCCAAGACUUGCCAUCCUCACAUACAGUUUUGCUGUCAAAGGAGCAGAUUGUGAAGCCAAUAUGUGAAGGCAGAAAGACUAGCAAGACCAAGGUGCCUACAGCAGAAUGAGUCACUGCCCCAGUAGAGCAUG